CAACGUUUCUAAAGGAACGCUAAUACCGCAUACGUCCUACGGGNGAAAGCAGGGGACCUUCGGGCCUUGCGCUAUCAGAUGAGCCUAGGUCGGAUUAGCUAGUUGGUGAGGUAAUGGCUCACCAAGGCGACGAUCCGUAACUGGUCUGAGAGGAUGAUCAGUCACACUGGAACUGAGACACGGUCCAGACUCCUACGGGAGGCAGCAGCG
rnacentral:rRNA from 1 species